UGGGCAGUGAGCAUGAAGGGUAGUUUAGGUUAAGAGAAGUGGGUAACGGUGUGGGCCUGAGGGGUAUAAAAUGAAUAUGAAAGAGGCGAGCAAUGGGUAUGAGGGUAUGAGGGAAAUGAAGACACGUGGUGUGGCUAAAAGGGGUGAAUAUCAGCGUGGACAUGAGGGGUAUGACAUGGAUGUGGAAAGGUGGGUGUGAUGAUAGAUGGGUAUGGAAUUGACGGAUAUGCAUGGAUGACCCUGCAUGAAUGAGGACAAAUGG
rnacentral:lncRNA from 1 species